GAUGAACGCUAGCGGCGUGCUUAAUGCAUGCAAGUCGAACGAGAAGCUUGGAUUCGUCUGAGUGGAAAGUGGCGAACGGGUGAGUAACACGUUGGUGACCUGCCCCAGAGAGGGGGACAACCACUGGAAACGGUGGCUAAUACCCCAGAUGUCAUGGUUUUUAGAACUCUAUGACUAAAGCUCCGGCGCUCUGGGAGGGGCCAGCGCCCCAUCAGCUAGUUGGUAAGGUAAUGGCUUACCAAGGCAUAGACGGGUAGGGGACGUGAGAGCGUGAUCCCCCACACUGGUACUGACACACGGACCAGAUACCUACGGGUAGCAGCAGCAAGGAAUAUUGCGCAAUGGGCGAAAGCCUGACGCAGCAACGCCGCGUGGAGGAUGAAGGCCUUCGGGUUGUAAACUCCUUUUCUGAGGGAAUAGAAAGGAAGGUACCUCAGGAAUAAGCUCCGGCUAACUACG
rnacentral:rRNA from 1 species